rnacentral:rRNA from 1 species
UUUCCUACGGGGGGCAGCAGUGGGGAAUAUUGGGCAAUGGGCGCAAGCCUGACCCAGCAACGCCGCGUGAAGGAAGAAGGCUUUCGGGUUGUAAACUUCUUUUGUCAGGGACGAAGCAAGUGACGGUACCUGACGAAUAAGCCACGGCUAACUACGUGCCAGCAGCCGCGGUAAUACGUAGGUGGCAAGCGUUAUCCGGAUUUAUUGGGUUUAAAGGGUGCGUAGGCGGGCUUUUAAGUCAGCGGUAAAAAUUCGGGGCUCAACCCCGUCCGGCCGUUGAAACUGGGGGCCUUGAGUGGGCGAGA